CACAAGCACACCUGUGUGGCGGUUUCUUUGGCUUCAUUUUUAUCAGGUUCAGGAUGAAAAGAGCUGGGCGAUAGAGAGACGCGAUACUCGAGUGUGCGAUACAGUCAUCUCCGACAUCUGCCCGCCCCGCCGCUCGCGCACCCUGUGGGGUACCGGGUGGAGGGGUGCGAGUGACGUCACGCCCAGCAGCUCGGAUCGUUUGCAGGUUUUUAAUCAAAAUCGUUUCAAAGGCGGAAAUUCCGCGGACAGCCGGAGAGCUGAACUCGAAAAACCCCCGAAUUCCUUGAACGUCUGGACCCCAGACAAAAGCCUCGUUUCACCCCCGCGUCUCCUACAGCCGCUGGCCGGGUCGGUGUGCUUGAACUCGGGCGCUGCUCCGGCGGGAUGGCGAGAGAGAACUUCUACGUCGUUCGCAACCCGAACACGGGCGACGUCAGGGAGGACCGAGCCAGGAAACCGAGAAGGAGCAAGAUAUGGGUAUCAGACCGCCUGGCCUCGAGCUCCUCGGCGGAGAGCGAGACGGGGAGGCGUGGCUGGGUGCUGACAGUCGUCUUCCUCCUGCUGUUCCUGCUGUCAAUCAUCCUGCUGAUCGUCAUCGCGACCAAGAUGUCCAGGCUGCAGCAGGAGAACAGCCGCCUGCAGGACAAGGCCAAACUACUGGAGAAGAAGAGUAAGACCUGGGCUAGCACACUGGCACACACACACACUGGUACACUGGCACACACACACACAGGAACACUGGCACACACACUGACACGCACCAACACACUGGCACACACACUGGCACACACACUGACACACUGGCACACACACACUGACACACUGGCACACACACACACAGGAUCACUGGCACACACACUGACACGCACCAACACACUGGUACACACACUGGCACACACACUGACACACUGGCACACACGCACUGGCACACACACUGACACAAUGGCACACACACACACACACACUGGCACACACACAGACACACUGGCACACACUGACAGACACACACUGACACACUGGCACACACACUGACACACGCACUGGCACACACACUGGCACACACACACUGACACACUGGCACACACACUGACACAAUGGCACACACACACACUGGUAUGCAUACUGGCAUACACACACACUGGUACACACACUGGCACAGUGUCACACACGCACUGGUAUGCACACUGAAACACUGGCACAUACACACACUAGCACACAUACUGACACAUACACUGGCACAUAAACACACUAGUA
rnacentral:lncRNA from 1 species